CGGGGUGUAGCGCAGCUGGUAGCGCGUACGGCUGGGGGCCGUGAGGUCGCAGGUUCAAGUCCUGUCACCCCGACCA
rnacentral:tRNA from 1 species